UUAUAAUUCAUUCUAGAAGAUAGAACCCAACACGUUUACGCACAAAAUUUCAACGAAAAAUUUUUUUGGGUAUUACAGUAUGUAUAUGAAGAUUACGAAGAAACAAGUAUUAGCUUCAGGGAUUUGGUUCAGUGACGAAGGUAUUACAGACUACAGACGCGGAUAUAUUGUAGGCAUACAUCACAAGUUCAAAUCAUGACUGGUAAACCAAGUCUGGUGCUCAAGUGGAGAAGGGUAGAGGGUAGAAUCAUAUAGCUACCGAGUUCGAAGAUGAAAAUAGCAGAUUUCUUGGUCUAACAAGUGAAUUAUUUUUGUAAUCAGUGCUAACUGGUAAAUUGUUUGUAGCGUAUUCUCUUAUUUUCUCAAGUCUUAAGUUAGGUCCUAAUCCAAGCGGAUCAUUUACUCUGAUUAAUCCGAGUUUGCUUGGAGCUGCACCUCUAUUUUUUUUUUUGCAAUGCUAAGUUAAUCCCCUGUACACUCAGAAAUCUAAAAUGACUAUCACAGGCUCUUUAUGCUUUAUCGUUUCCUCACAUUUAAAGCCAUUGUGUAUCUCUGCAUGCAUUUAAUUGCUCACUUCUACAUAAACUCAAUUUGCUCCACUGCUUUAUGACAUGGUCAGACGCUCCUGAUGUUUCUUACCUGUUUGCCUGUCCCUUCUGAAAUAAAAAUCAUGGCAAAGUAGACACAGGUGAUGGAAAAUAAAAUGAUUUUAUUCUUUCUUGUUUCUUAUAUAUUGCAUAAUUUCUCUCUCGUCUAUUUGUAGUGGAGGAUUGCGUUUGAAGCGUGAUAUUACAGAGUAUGGGGAGUUUGUUCGUAGCUUCAAUGCUCCUUCUGUUGAAGAGAAAUUUGAACAGCUUGGCAUCAUGGCAAAUGUAUUUAUUGUCGCUCCUAAAAGUCUUUCCACACUCUUUGAGGGAACCCCGAGCAUAAGGAAAGAUGCACAAAGGAUGCUUGGUGAGUUGAAUAUGGUGAUAUAUGGAUGUUGAACAAGAUGAAAUUCCAAGGCAAAACAGCACCACAAAGCACGAGAGAAGCGGAGGAACACUUAAACGAAAAGAUGAGCAAAAUGGCACUUUCAGUGAGGGCGUGAAGAUUAGCCCAGGCUAUGGAGAUCGCGACGCCUCCAUUAGUGCAAUGCGCAACAGCCCGCGACGCCUCCACUCCUACACGGCCUAGGCUUAGUUUCUACUUUAAAUACACAAUGUUAAACACUUUAUAACCACCUUUGGACGUCUUUAGCUUAGGAUUAGGGUUUCUUAGCACUUCUUUUAGUGUUUAUAUCUCUUUAAUUUAGCUUUAUAACGGAUUAUAACAUGUGUUCAAUUAUGUUGAUUACAAUUAUGUCAAUUGGACGCUAAAUGCCUCUUUUCCGAGGUUAAGGUUGAGAUCAUGAUUGC